CAUCAGUUGUUCUCGACCGGUCGGUUCCCGCGCAUCGCUCGUUCUGGCGUAUUUUGCUUGUGCGGUGUUCUUCUUCAGUGGUAUCAUUUUUCCACUCUAACCCAAGGAGGGUUCAGGACUGAGGAGGUUGUGCCUGUGUGUAACAUUCCAAACCGUCCGUAGGUGUGUGGUAGGAGACCCCCUUCGGUGCGUGCUGUUUCACUGGCUGGUGAACACAUAGUAAUAUCGGUUUUCUAACUGCCGGCAAAGUGUGGGUGCUGAAUCCUGAACGAGAAUUCUUCACGGCCUUCACGGUUCGGCUACGAUGAGCCUUCUUCGGCUAGAUUUGCUUGUGAUUUGCUGCCUGAUCGCAGUGAACCUGUGCGUAUCGCAGCAAGCCGUCCCGACCAUUGCAUCCAUCAGUCCGGAACAGAUAAAGGAUAUUGGAGAGAUCGUUUCACUGGAGUGCGAUAUCAACAAUGUGGGCAAGUUUACCGUUGGAUGGCAGAAAAGCAACCGGGAGCGGUCGCAAAAUGUUAACACCAUUUCGUUGGGUCCAACAUUGGCCGUCGCCGAGGAACGGUUCAAUCUGAGUGUCGACAAAGAGAAUAAUACAAUGAAAUACAAAUUGACGAUCAGUGACAUCGUCAACACAGAUGCCGGUUUAUACGAAUGCCAGAUUCAGGUGAAUAGUACCAACAAAGUGACGGCGACGGUGGAGCUUCAGGUGCGUCACCCACCUAUUCUACUGGAUAAUCUUGCUGCUACGACCGUUACCAAGGCAGAAGGAGAGGACGUUAAGCUUACCUGUUCAGCCGAAGGAUAUCCCCGUCCGUCGAUUACCUGGAAGCGAGAGUACAAUACGAUUCUUCCGAUCGGUGGUCAAGUUUUCAACGGAAAUGUCCUCUCGCUGUCAUCACUGACCAAGGAAGACCGCGGCACGUACCUCUGUCUCGCCGAUAAUGGCGUAGGAAGACCAGAUUCAAGAACCAUCAAUUUGGAGGUCGAAUUUUCUCCAGUCAUCUCAAUUCCUCGACCAAAGGUCGCUCAGGCUACGGAGUACGACAUCGAGCUGGAGUGCGUAGUGCAAGCGUUCCCGUCGCCAUCGAUUUCAUGGUUCAAGAAUGGUCAUCCAAUUCACAAUGGCGGUUCUUAUAGUAUUUCCCAAACUGGUCAACCGGAUGAUGUGACAACGUCGGUGGUCAAGAUUAGUUCUGUCGAAAGUUCACACUACGGUGACUAUAUCUGCAAAGCUUCCAACAAAAUAGGCCACGCGGAAGCGAGACUGAACCUUUAUGAAUCGGUUAUCCCAGUAUCCUAUUGAAUUGUUUGUUUAGUUUAGUAAUCUUUUGUUGCGUGAUGUAUUUGCUUUAUAAUUUUCUUCACACAAAAAAGAGCAAAGUCUUCCCAACAUCAACUUCUCCGGUUUGAAAUGGUCCAGCUCUGCUCGUACCCUCGCCAGUCAUCUCGGAAUCCUAAUGGUGACUGCGUUGCUUGCGACGCUUUUGUGAAUAAGAAAGCUCCGGAGUUAACAGUCCAUUCCGGGACCGUAAAUCCACAGAUCAGCUAGGAACGAAGCAACAACAAUCGACGCAAGUGCAAAGUUUUACACACAUCAACAAAAACGAACAAUCUUUCGUAACAUAUUACAAUAGGCAUAAUCCGCGAGAUCAUCUCGUACCGACAUAUCCUCUGUUUUGGGUGAAUUUAUCAAACACAUAGAAGAUUUUGACAUAUAGAAUUAGGAUUGAAAAUGAACCGUUUUAGAAAUCCUGUACAAAUGAAACGUAACAAGACUUAUGGUGACAAAAAAUAGAUUAUAAACAAGUGCAAAAUUUCAUCGUUAGUGUUAAGGAAAUUACUAAUUAUAUUUCGAUCCCUGUGUGGAAAUAAAAGGCUUUGACAAUUCCA